AGAGUUGAUCCUGGCUUAGGAUGAACGCUAGCUACAGGCUAACACAUGCAAGUCGAGGGGUAGGCAGGGUAGCAAUACCGCUGACGACCGGCGGCACGGGUGAGUAACACGUAUCCAACUUCCCAUAACUCAGGGAUAGCCUUUCGAAAGAAAGAUUAAUACCUGAUAGUACUUUUUCAAGGCAUCUUGAAAAAGUUAAAGAUUUAUUGGUUAUGGAUGGGGAUGCGUUCCAUUAGAUAGUUGGUGAGGUAACGGCUCACCAAGUCUUCGAUGGAUAGGGGUUCUGAGAGGAAGGUCCCCCACAUUGGUACUGAGACACGGACCAAACUCCUACGGGAGGCAGCAGUGAGGAAUAUUGGACAAUGGGGGAAACCCUGAUCCAGCGAACCGCCGCGUGAGUGAAGAAGUAUUUCGGUAUGUAAAGCUCUAUCAGCAGGGAAGAUAAUGACAGUACCUGACUAAGAAGCCCCGGCUAACUACGUGCCAGCAGCCGC
rnacentral:rRNA from 1 species